rnacentral:lncRNA from 1 species
GUCCUCUCUCCUCCCUGCUUUCUCCUCAUUGGUGUUUCCUUCUUCUUAGAUUCCAGAGCUUGUUUUUGUUCUCAGCAGCCUUUCCAGGGUGAGGUGGCUUCAAUUCCCCAUUGGAAAUCUGAAUGAAGCUGCAGUUUGCUCAGGAAGGGAAGAAAGAAAAGUUUAGAUCUGGCUUUAGCAACAGACAGAUGCACUUCUGAUUUCUUCAGGCACAAAGAAGAUGUGUUUGCUGACGUUAUACUUCACCUGAAAAGGAAAAGAAAAUCCGUUAAAGACAGAAGAGUGGAAAUAUUACUUGAAUUUUCCAACAGGGCUAGCAUAGUGUAAUGCUUAUUGCUACAGAUGCAGAAUGACUGCUUCAGGCUUAUUUCCCUAUGCCUCCCACCAAAGGGACUAAGGUGAGUCAAAUCUGUGUUUAAAGAGCUGUAAAUGUACCUAGAGGGUGUGACAAGUAUAGUCUUUAAGAAAUGAAAGAUGGGCAAGCAACCAUUCUAUGUGGUACUUUUUCGUUCUCAGGUUUCUGCCCAAAAAUUCACUGAGCUUUGGCUUUGAGUUCAGCUCUUCUAACUAGUCUCUAACUCCCAAUCCAUAGAUUCAUUAAUGCUGAACCUGAUCUCUCAUUUCAGUCUGUUUUACAACAGUGUAAGUCUAUUGAUAUCAACAGAUUUACACAUACACAUGUGUAAAUCAGGAGUAAGUGAGAGGAGAAUCCGGUCUUUGUUUCUAUAGACCAGACACUGCAUUUAGCUACAGUAAGAUUCCUUUGUACUGUUUACCAAACUAGUGCAAAUAUUAAAAGCAUGCAUCUAUGGAAAGGAAGGAGAGAACCUGAGGCUAGUAUCGUAUGAAGAUACUGCUGUAUAUGUGAAAGAUGCUGCCUCCAUCUGGUCCAUAUUCUUCUCUGUUUAUAUUUAGGGCCAAAUGGAGGUGGUCUCUUUGACAUCGACACAAGUAGAAAAAGGCAUCCAGGAUGGAAAUCCAGUACACAACCAUUGCAUCCUGCUCCUGUAUUCCCCCUGGACCCAGCUCCUGUAUUCCCCCCUGGACCCAUGAUGUUCAUAUUCUACAGACCUCAUAAAGGAUUCUUCAAUGCUGUAAGUACUAGUAUCAGAUCUGCUCAAACAGAGCAUCAUGAAGAACAAGCAUAAAGAUUGAAUCCUAUUAAUCAUGGUCUUGGGAAGCUCCAAGCAAAAUAUCUUCUAAAUAAUUAGGGCCAAAAAAUAGGCUUUGCAUACUAAAUUAUGUC